rnacentral:tRNA from 1 species
GCGGAUGUGGCGGAAUUGGCAGACGCACUAGACUUAGGAUCUAGCGCCGCGAGGCAUGGGGGUUCAAGUCCCUUCAUCCGCACCA